UACAGAGGUCUCAAGCGUUGUUCGGAUUCAUUGGGCGUAAAGGGCGUGUAGGUGGCGCGCUAAGUCGGGUGUGAAAUUUCGGAGCUUAACUCCGAAACUGCAUUCGAUACUGGCGUGCUUGAGGACUGGAGAGGAGACUGGAAUUCAUGGUGUAGCAGUGAAAUGCGUAGAGAUCAUGAGGAAGACCAGUGGCGAAGGCGGGUCUCUGGACAGUUCCUGACGCUGAGACACGAAGGCCAGGGGAGCAAACGGG
rnacentral:rRNA from 1 species